AGAGCCGGAUGCAGGGCUCGAACUCACAAGCCACGAGAUCAUGACCUGAGUUGAAGUCAGACACUCAACCGACUGAGCCACCCAGGUGCCCCUAAUCACCACAUUUUGAUGAUGUGGUGGACAGCUGCUGAUUUGAAUGCCUACCAUCCUUCCUUCCUUCAUUUAUUUGUUUAUUUAUUUGUUUAUUUAUUUUCUGGUAAGAGCAACUGUAUUUUCCUUUGGUAAAACUCUCCUACUCAACUGCAUGGUGGGACUUACUGAGAAUUCAUGAGAGUUUUGCCACUUCGAGCAAUGGCAGUGAGAUCCGAGCUUGGCUCAUCAAACCAUCUCCCUACAAUUGGAUUAUGAGCAGGGGGACACAAGGGUCAAAAAUGUUGGAAUUCACCCUUCCCACUACUGGAGAAAGUUUCUAUGACUUCUUGCUACACAGACUGCCCUUGAGCUGUUUCAGGCCAGUACCUUCCAAGAACUGAUUCUUCAGCUUUUCCUUACAUUUUUCCAGUGUGUGUGUGUGUGUGUGUGUGUGUGUGUGUGUGUGUGUGUGGCUGUUAUGACAUGGUCAGAGUCAAUUGCUGUUAUCUGCCACUUAAGAACCAUGACUGACACUGAAGGGGGUUGUGAUUGGUUCUCUCAGAUAAUCAGAUCUCAUGACUCUGCACCAAACAUGAUGGGUUUAGUUCUUUUUGAGUCAGGCUAGAUUUGCUCUGCCCAUGACUGCACAGCAUCCUUGCUUACAAAAGAGUUUCAGAUGAACGCUUCCCAGUGGAUUGGCAAGUCUAUUGCUUAUAUGAUAAAGGCAAAAAUGCAAGUGGAAAUCCCACUGAUGGCAGGUGAACAGUGCCGCAUCUCUUUCUGAAAGAGACAUUUUGUAGACUUUCUGCAGUGCUUAAACUAUUCAAUUUCUCCAACCCCCCUAAGAGAAGAUGGAUUAAAAAGAAGAAACAGGUGUAUAUAAUUUGGAUGGACAGGCCGAAUGAUGGGGGAAGCAGGAAGGGAGAGAGUAUAAUUUGUAAUUAUCUCUCAUCUGCCCGUGAACAGCUUAUUCCUCAGGAAAGAGUCUCGUAACUGCCAGUGGUUGACCACACAUCGCUGAGGCAAGAUCUUUUCUGUGAGAUGUGACCGUCGGAUUGGCAGACCAGAGCAGCCCUUAAUGGGAGGGUAGACAGCUUAUGCUGGAUGUUGAGUAAAAUACUCUUGUUUCCCAUCCUGGUGCUCAAAUAAGAAAAGCUGUGUAUCUUCGGACAGCUGAUUUACUUUCUCUGGCUGUUAGUUAUCUGUAGGACUCGAGGGUUAACCCAAAUUCUCUCUGAAGUGUUUUUCCUAGCUUUAAAACUGCUGAUUUUUGUGUGUCUAAGUAAUUCCAGCAACUUUCAAUUCAUUCAGUAUAAUGUUGCAUUAUGAUUAUUAAUAUUUCAUUAAAUUACUCCUUUAGUUGGACUUGAAAACAUUGGAUGUAUUUUAUGUGUGAGUUAGAGUCUGCAGACUAUCUUCCCUUUUUAUAGAUUUCCCUUCACUGAAAUUCAGUAUACAUUUUUGUUUUACAAAUAUUUCUUGGACACACUUAUGCUCUGAAGUGUAAUAUAUCAUAAUGCUGAUUUACACUCAUGAAUACUCAAUGAAUGUCAACUGAUGCACUCAUUUGGAGAAUUUAUAGCUGAAUAAGGGUCAUCAUUUGUUUCAAAUUUGCUCUAACAGACAUAAAAAUUCUUAUCAGUACAAGUAUAAAUAACUAGAGUAUAACUAACUAGAACAGUAGUGGCAUGCAAUCUUUAUUUUUGGUAUUCAAUAUUUAUUUUUAUUUUCUUUAAAAUACACACAUAGUACUUUAGGGGAGAAGAUACAUUACCCUUUGUCACCCAUCCUAAUGAGAUGUUUACUUAGUUUUCUCUCUCUUCCACUUUCUCUAAACUCUCUGUGACUUAAGACUCAGCCAGGUGAAAACAAACAUAUGGCUACCACAUGGGGGACAAUGUAAAGUGUGUGCAAGCCCUAUAGGAGACAAUCUAGCCACACAUUGUGCUCUCUGUUCAAUGACAAAACUAUUUAUUAUUCACAAAAUGGGAGAAACCACACUUCUUUCUAUACACUGAAAUAAUAACAAUAAUGACAAUCACAACAACAAUAACAACAACAACAAUGGUAGCUACAUCAAAAUACCUUUAGCAUUUUAGUUUUGCUAAGAGCCAUAUCUGAUUCCACUUUGACCUUGGUACUUUCUUUUCGUAGACAGUUCUGCAUAUGGCAUAUACCAUAUGCAGAAGAAUGUUGAAAUGAUACUAAUCCUCUUUUUCUAUUCUAGGCUAUCAAAGUCAAGAAUUUAUUUUUUUAAGAUUUCAUUUUUAAGUAAUCUCUACAAACAACAUGGGGCUCAAACUUACAACCCUUCAAUCAAGAAUCGCUUGUUCUGCAAUCAAGUCACUUGCUCUACUGAAUGAGCCAGCCAGAUUUAGGGAGCAGAGUAACAAGAGACUGCAGAAGAGGUGUGAUGGAUGUAAAUAAGAGAAAGAAAAUAUCAGGAAAUACCCAGAAUGAUUCUAUAUAGGCCAUUUUAGGAAAUAGUUUUAUAGGAGAAACUUAAAUGGACACAGGCGUGCUACACUUUCCUCAGCACAUGGUAGUAACCUGUCUGACCCAAGCAAAGAAGAAAACCAGGUUGGCGUGUGAUGCCUGGUGGUGGGGCAAACCCAAGGUGGAGGGCAGAGCUGGAGUGAGCACAGCAGAACAGAAGGUGGUGAAUUCCCUUUCUUGGAGUAGCUUGUGUGAAGAAAACAGGUGGACAGCCUGGUGAGAGGGAAUGCCAGAUCCCAUCCUUCCCCACGGCUAAGCCGCCCUCAGGCCAGCCCUGGCUGGGAGCCCACCACUUCCUCCAUGUCCAUAAAGAGCUCCAGAGACAUGCAGGAAAAGCCUCUCUCCUGCAUCUGCUUGGACACACCAGCUCUCUAACCACAGAGAGGCCACUUACAGACACUUCCUCCAGAUACCUGGCUCAGCUGGUCUUGAACACGCCUGCCAAGGAGUGACUCGGGCAGCCAGUAACCACAUGAAAAACCUUGCCUGUUGUUUUGACACUCGUGGCUCUUGGGAAGAUGGCAACUGUUGGAAAGGAUUGUAUGCACUUCUGAGAUUUUAUGUACCUAAUCUUUUAAAAAUAGGCCCUGGGUUUGCUAAAGCGGAUAAUGUCACCUAGUUUGAACUUGAUGAAAGCAUAGAAAAGCAAUUUAAACACUUGUAUGGUUCUCCAAGCAUAAGCACAUGGACAGAUUUUUGAGAGGAUCUGCUGAAACCUCCUGAAAUUUGUAUUUCAUCACAGAUAAAUGUGCAUUGUUGUUUCAAGAACUUGAUUAUUAGAUCAUCAGGGCUGUAACUAACAACAAGAGUUUUACCUGCGCUUAAAAGUGAAAUAAAUAAAUUAAUAAGUAGGCAAAAAUGCCUUAAUAGUAAUAAGAUCUCUCAGAAAAUGGAUAUUGUGGUAUUGUGUACUCAAACUAGUAAUACAAGUAUACUUUUUAUCAUAAGAAUUCAUAGUCCUUUCUGGAUUUUUAUGAGGUGCCCUAUACAGGUAAUUUGCUUUGCAAUCUCUUUCUGCCCUAAAUUGAAAAAAUUAGGAAUUAGGAAAGCAGGUACUGAUGCGAUUAAUAGAAAAUAGCAUCUAUGGUUCAAUUUCAUAGAAUAAUUUAUGCAGUUAAGGGGAAGUGAGGGGUAUUGGAGACAGCAAUGUCGAGAAGUCAGACACAGCUGGUGCCAUUUCUGCCUCUGCUGCUAAUUGCUGUGUACUUUGGGACAGUUACUUAACAUCUCUGAGCCUUUCAGUCUUGUCUUCUAUAAAAUGGAGACAAUAAAAACUACUUUGGAAGAUAAUCGAGGGGACAGUGACACAUAGCAGCCACUCCUUAAGGGCAUUGUUUAUUAUCAUUAAUAACAGGGAAGAUAAUUGUCAACCAAGAGCCAAAUGUACUUUCUUUGAGUGUUAAAUAAUUAGAUUCCUAAACUGGAGUUGGUUCCAGUUGCUAUAAUUGAAAUUAAGCCAUCACGACUUUGGAUUACAGACAUUUCUUUAUAUCCAGUAGGACACAAAUAGUUGGGAAUUUCUAGGUAAUUUUAUAAUAUGAAAUCAGUGCGUGGUGUGUGGAAAUAUUACCCCCAGAGUUGGACACAUUGUGGGUCCCUGAGCAAGUCUUUCAGCUACACUCUGCCACAGUGUUAUUAUUUCUCAAAUGUUGGAGAUGGGGAGCUACUUUCAGGCUAAAAUUAAAAGACAUCAUGGUUUUGUUUUGGAAAAAUCGAUUCAUCAAUAUGUUUUUUUUCCAUGGCUAUAAAAAGUAUUUGAAAACGAAACAAAAUAAAGUAGUAAAAAAUCUUGGUAUGUAUUUUUUCCUUGGAUAAUGAGGCUCUCAUUCAAGUGCUCUUGGAAAAGAUUAUUUUGUGCUCUGGUCAAGGUGGCCUACUUUUUUUGUGUGUUGAAGGGCUUUGCAAUUAGAAGUUAUUUGUAUUUUCCCAGGGAGUGUCCACUUUGGGAAGAAAGAAAAUUAUAUGCCUGAAGAAUAUGGUUGGCCAAUUUAUUGUUGUUUAUGUCUGUGCUAGACCUAAAAGGAAAUACAUAGAAUUCAAGUUUCUUUCUUUCUUUCUUUCUUUCUUUCUUUUUUUUUUUUUUGGCAUGGGAAAGGGUGGUACAAAUAUAGUGUCACAUUUUGUUUUAUGGUAGAAUAUGACUUCCCCUGUUUUAACGUGUUUAGAGGUGAGUUCUUUGAACUCACAGUCUAAACCAAGCCACACAUGUGUGUGUAAGAAAUGGGAGGGAGAAUGAAUCAGAAGUGCUUCGGUACAGGAAGGUUUUAAUAAGUAUGUUCUCCCUCUUCUGAAAGAUUGCUUAAAUACAUUUUAAUUUGUCUAAUGUGUUCAUUUUGGGGGGGGGGGAAUUGUCAAUACAAAUAAAUUCUUCCCUCUGAAAUUAUUUUUUACUCAUAGGGACUUCUUUCUGUGCCCUGUACUGGAAAAUCAGUUAUCUCGGCCACCUGGUACAUUAUAUAGCACAGGACUGUCAUCAAGAAGAAGGUGUGACUGCAAUUAUCCUGAGAUCGAAAGGCGUUUGCAACGGACACAUGAAAUAAAUUGAUUUGUAAAGUACAGGUAGUAGAGUCCACGAGGAAUCUGUUGUGGACAGGAUUUUUUCAUUCAUUAGUGCUAGGUGCCCUCUCCUGGUCAGUGAGAGUAAUGUUCAGGAGCUAAUUUCUAGAUUCUGCUUUGCUAGGCAGCAUGAGGUGCCUCCGCACAGGUACUCCAUGCCGGGCUUCCUAUGUGAGGAAAGAAACCUGAAGGUAAGUGACCUCAUUCCGUUCCACGUCCUCGCCCUUUUGAUCAUCAGACGGUGUUUGCUUAGCUGUGUGUGGUAGGGUAAUAUUUUCGUUUGUUACCUGCUAAUCUCUUCUCUUUUUCUCAUGACUUCACCAUCAAUCGGAGAGCAUCCCGAAUAUGGCCUGUUUGUACGUGACAAGAAUGACAGGUGGAACAGGAAGCCAGCCUUGGGCAGUGAACACCUUCCCCACUGUCGCUGAUACCACCACCUUUGUAUAAUAAGCCUCAGGAGCUUCAAACCCGGGGGGGGGGGGGGCAGUGAGGGGGGCAUUCCAAUG